rnacentral:rRNA from 1 species
AGGACGAACGCUGGCGGCGUGCUUAACGCAUGCAAGUCGAGCGGUAAGGCCUUUCGGGGUACACGAGCGGCGAACGGGUGAGUAACACGUGGGUGAUCUGCCCUGCACUCUGGGAUAAGCCUGGGAAACUGGGUCUAAUACCGGAUAUGACCUGCUCUCGCAUGGGGGGUGGGUGGAAAGAUUUAUCGGUGCAGGAUGGGCCCGCGGCCUAUCAGCUUGUUGGUGGGGUAAUGGCCUACCAAGGCGACGACGGGUAGCCGACCUGAGAGGGUGACCGGCCACACUGGGACUGAGACACGGCCCAGACUCCUACGGGAGGCAGCAGUGGGGAAUAUUGCACAAUGGGCGAAAGCCUGAUGCAGCGACGCCGCGUGAGGAUGAAGGCCUCGGUUGUAACCUCUUCAGCAGGAGAAGACGCAAGUGACGGUACCUACGCAGAAGAAGACACCGGCUAACUACGUAGCCAGCAGCCGC